rnacentral:misc_RNA from 1 species
UUUCCGUAGGUGAACCUGCGGAAGGAUCAUUGUCGAAACCUGCCUAGCAGAACGACCCGCGAACGCGUUGCAAGCAACACCGGAGGUGGUGCGGGUGCAUCCUCGCCUCUCGCCACCCCCGUGUCUCGGAGCGGCCAGUCUCGUCGUCCCUUUGCCCGUCGGGUGGGGUGAGAUGCCGGGAUCAACCUCUUCGAGGCAAAGCGAACAAACCCCCGGCGCGAAUCGCGCCAAGGAAUCGAAACGAAAGAAGGGGCACGUCUUCUGUCGCCGCACCGUUCGCGGUGUCGAUGCUUCAGUGAUGUUGUUCCCUUGUCGCAAAAUAUACAGAACGACUCUCGGCAACGGAUAUCUCGGCUCUC